UACGAAGGGUGCAAGCGUUACUCGGAAUUACUGGGCUUAAAGGGUGCGUAGGCGGCGCGGAAAGUAGGGUGUGAAAUCCCUCGGCUCAACCGAGGAAUUGCGCCCUAAACUACCGUGCUCGAGGGAGAUAGAGGUGAGCGGAACUUAGGGUGGAGCGGUGAAAUGACGUUGAUAGUCCUAAGACACGGAUGGACGAAGCGGCAGCGUGAUCUGGGUUUCUGAC
rnacentral:rRNA from 1 species